UUUCAAAGCUUUUGUCCACAUAUUGAGUGGAUGCGUCCUCUCUCCCCUUUAUAACAAGUUAGUUUUCCUACCUUCGUUCAAAGCUUUUGUCCACAUAUUGAGUGAACUUCAAACAUGCAUUUUUCUUACUCCUUUAUUACUUGCUUAAUUAUCCCAUUUGAAUGAGUGAUUUUAAUUUGUGUCUCACACAGCUUACACUAGUUAUGUGAGGUAUUUUUUUAUCUCACAUAUUUAUGAACUCAUAUCUUACAUAUCUUGGUCACAAAAUUCUGAGACCCACACGAUUGUGAGACAAAAAAGAUAUCACACAACUAAUGUCAGUUGUGUUAGACACAAAAUAAAAUAUUUCCAUUUGAAUGAAUGUUGUCGGUGUGACGGCGUUUGAAUUUCAACCGGAUGUAGAUCAUUGUUUGCGUAUUUCCAUUCCACAUCUUGAUUUGACAUAUUUUGUUUCUCUCUAUCUGAUAUCAACAAAAUAAUUCUCAAAAAUAUUAGUGAAAUCCAUGGUAAUACCUUGAACUCGGCAUAUGAUUUUUUCUGAGUAGGAGGAAUUGAAGAUGUAAGUAAUUUUGGGAUUUUCUAUUAAUAUAGCAAUUGUAAUUGUACAGAUUUCACAAAUAUCAUGCAUAAACUAGGUUGUUUUUGGGUUCCGAAGACGAGAUUCGCAGCCUGAAAUUUGGGUGCGAAGACAGAGAGAUCCCUGAUGUUUAGGAAGGUCUUCUCUUAUGUGCGGAUGUUAGUCAGGUGAAAAUUCUACAUUUCCC
rnacentral:lncRNA from 1 species